UCGAUUUUGAAUGGCUCACUAAGAUGGAAGAGACAGCAGAAAAAAAUGCCCUCCAGUGCCAGAAAGCACGCUAGCAACUGAGUGAUCUCAGAUGACUGCUCUGAUACAUGCACCAAUGAGCAGGCAGAUCUUGCUACAAAGCAAAAUUCAGAGGAUGGAUGCAGCAGCUUACAAAGAAGCUCGGUGGGUGAUUGGCUGUGGUGGAUGAAAAGCAGCAUCUCUGUGUUUGGCUGGCUGAAGGAGGGCUCUCACAUCCCUGACACCCAAGUGCAAAGAAAAAGGCAUGGUAUCUCAGCAGAGAGCUCCUGCGAUAAGUCGGAUCCAUUCCUAUCCAGAAGCUAGGGGCCAGCUGCAGGCAAGAGGAGAUGCUCAUGCAGAGCUCACAGCAGGAUAGAGGCCAAAAUGACCUUGCUGGGGAGUGACGAAAUUCUCAGAUGUAUACAGCACUGCAGAAAGCACCAGGAGGAGUUGAGCUCACUGAUCCUUGUGAGUCUCUUCCAACUUGGGAUGUUCUGUGAUUCUACAAUUCUUCAUGUCACUUCAGAGCGUACUGAAAAGCAAAGAAGAAAAACUGCAAACAUGUGUACUCUGUUAAUGAAAUCAAGCAAGAUCCUGAGGAUAUCUUGUAUGCAUUGAGAUCACUUGGUCUUUGCUGCUGGCAGGCAGAUUCAGCAGGAACACAGGCAUACC